rnacentral:hammerhead_ribozyme from 1 species
GCACUGCUGAUGAGUCACACAAAGGGACGAAACGGCCGUCCAGUGC